AACGAAGAAUUAUCCGAUCCUUCGAGUCCCUUUUAUUUCUGCUUUAAUAAUGUCACGUUUCGUAAACUUUUUCGUGCAAUGAGAUUUCGAAAAGAUCUUGCACUAUUCUUGCGAGUAUUAGACAAUCUGUAGCAAUGGAAUUUUUUAAAACAAUUUUCAAAUGAUAUUGUCGCAAAAUUUCGUUUUCACAGUUAUUCGAAAGGUCUGUCUGAUGUUUAUUUUGAGCGAAAAUUUAUUAGUGAUGGUCGUUGUACAAAUUUUUUAAGUAACGAUGGUUUAUUUUCUGAUUCUCAGAAUCCUUUUGUACCUAAGAAAAGUGAGAGAACAGCGGAGAUCUCGCCAGAAAGGAAGACAGUAAGAAAUUCAAUGUUGGAACGAUUUCCAAGAAUGGGCAGAAGCAAGUCCGCGCCGAGUUCUUACAACUGGCUAACAAACCGUAGACAAAUGUCCGUAAACAGCCCACUGUCUCCAUUGAUGGAAGCGCCCAGUCAAGAAACGGAAUGAAAUAUAUCUCGAAUCGACACGUCGCGCACAGUGGGAAAAUUCGCCGUAAACCCUGGCCAAAAGCAAUACAUCUAAAUCUAAAAGACGAAUUACUGGUAUAAAACCACAGUGAUAUAACUCUGAGCUAAUAAUAUAUUUUUGAUAUCAAAUAUUUCAUGUAAAAAUAAAUUGUCGAUUUAAUAAACUACUUUACAGAAUUGAA